AUUGAACGCUGGCGGCAGGCCUAACACAUGCAAGUCGAACGGUAACAGGAAACAGCUUGCUGUUUCGCUGACGAGUGGCGGACGGGUGAGUAAUGUCUGGGAAACUGCCUGAUGGAGGGGGAUAACUACUGGAAACGGUAGCUAAUACCGCAUAACGUCGCAAGACCAAAGAGGGGGACCUUCGGGCCUCUUGCCAUCGGAUGUGCCCAGAUGGGAUUAGCUAGUAGGUGGGGUAACGGCUCACCUAGGCGACGAUCCCUAGCUGGUCUGAGAGGAUGACCAGUCACACUGGAACUGAGACACGGUCCAGACUCCUACGGGAGGCAGCAGUGGGGAAUAUUGCACAAUGGGCGCAAGCCUGAUGCAGCCAUGCCGCGUGUAUGAAGAAGGCCUUCGGGUUGUAAAGUACUUUCAGCGGGGAGGAAGGGAGUAAAGUUAAUACCUUUGCUCAUUGACGUUACCCGCAGAAGAAGCACCGGCUAACUCCGUG
rnacentral:rRNA from 1 species